AGGCUGGUAUGGGGUGAUGCCUCUGCACCUUGUAUGAGAAAAAAGGGGAUGGGGUUCUUGAAGACUUGCCUGUACAGUUUACAGAGCCCGAGAUAGAAAAAAGAACAGGCUAAACAUGUAGACGCUUGAGAGUAGUGCUUUCGGACGCGGGUUCGACUCCCGCCGCCUCCACCA
rnacentral:tmRNA from 1 species